rnacentral:lncRNA from 1 species
CUCUGGCUCUGGAAGAUCCUCCAAUCCUCGGGGACAUGGCAGAACAAGUAAGACCUUCCUAGAAGGCCUGAAUUUUAAUUUUCCUUUGCCUCAUUUAGUCUACCCUAGCAAGAACAAAAGAGAAAAACAAGUUUCUUAGGAACUUGGCCACAUGGGUCAAUCACAUGGCAUAUCAUCUUUCCCUUAUGAGGAUCUUCUUUCCACCUCAGUUUCAUGCUCACACCGGUGACGUGGAGAUGAUAGAGGAUGAUGGUGAAGAGAAUUAGUUGUUAUGUGUUUUGUUGUUGUUAUGCUUUAUUGUUGCUUUUAUAUUUAUUGUAUUGUUGUUGUCGAAGUUGUUGUUGAU